GGGCGCGCUGAGCACUGGCCUGAGCUCAACUGACUGUAAAUCAGCCGCAUCGUCAAUAAGCCUGUGUAGGUUCGAAUCCUACCGCGCCCA
rnacentral:tRNA from 1 species